AACGAACGCUGGCGGCGUGGAUAAGACAUGCAAGUCGAACGAGAUUACUUCUGGUAGCAAUACCGGGAGUAAUUUAGUGGCGAACGGGUGCGUAACACGUGGGCAAUCUGCCUUAAAGUGGGGGAUAGCUCGGCGAAAGCCGAAUUAAUACCGCAUAUGAUGAGGAGGGACAUCCCUUCGAAAUCAAAGAUGGCGCAAGCUAUCGCUUUUAGAGGAGCCCGCGGCCUANCAGCUAGUUGGUGAGGUAACGGCUCACCAAGGCAUUGACGGGUAGCUGGUCUGAGAGGACGACCAGUCAGACUGGAACUGAGACACGGUCCAGACACCUACGGGUGGCAGCAGUCGAGAAUUUUUCUCAAUGGGCGAAAGCCUGAAGGAGCGACGCCGCGUGGAGGAUGAAGGUCUUCGGGUUGUAAACUCCUGUCAUUUGGGAGCAAUGGUCAACGGUUUACUGCCGUUGACUUGAUAGUACCAGAAGAGG
rnacentral:rRNA from 1 species